CAGAGGGGGCAAGCGUUGUUCGGAAUUACUGGGCGUAAAGGGCGCGUAGGCGGCCUGCUAAGUCGAACGUGAAAUCCCUGGGCUCAACCCAGGAACUGCGUCCGAUACUGGUUGGCUUGAAUCCGGGAGAGGGAUGCGGAAUUCCAGGUGUAGCGGUGAAAUGCGUAGAUAUCUGGAGGAACACCGGUGGCGAAGGCGGCAUCCUGGACCGGCAUUGACGCUGAGGCGCGAAAGCCAGGGGAGCAAACGGGAUUAGAUACCCCGGUAGUCCUGGCCCUAAACGAUGAAUGCUUGGUGUGGCGGGUAUCGAUCCCUGCCGUGCCGAAGCUAACGCAUUAAGCAUUCCGCCUGGGGAGUACGGUCGCAAGGCUG
rnacentral:rRNA from 1 species